UGGCCCGUUCGACUUCGGGUGAGGUCAUCGGUUUCUCAAGCCGAGCAGGUAGGGUUCGACUCCCACACGGGCUAU
rnacentral:tRNA from 1 species